UGCAGAAUGGCCAUCCCAUGCUCGCCGCAACCGUGCGCUACUACAUGAUGAAGCUGGUGGACAGAAGAAGAAAGGGCGAGGUGUUCUAAAAGGACAGAUGGGACCUGGAAGAUACACCAGAAACAGAAGAAAAAGUUCUCAAAAUUGCGAAAGAGUCAUAUAGAGGCUGGCGAUCAACUCUAAGCUCCACUUACAAGGCAUACAAAAUAGAUAUAGCUAGAUUGGCUAAUCUGCCGGAAGAUUUGCAACCAGAAGAGUGGGAAUGGAUGAUUGAGUACUUUGGCACUGAUUC